GACGAACGCUGGCGGCGUGCUUAACACAUGCAAGUCGAGCGGUGAAGCGCCUUCCUUUUUGGUGGGUGUGGAUGAGUGGCGAACGGGUGAGUAACACGUGAGUAACCUGCCCCCUUCUUCUGGAUAACCGCAUGAAAGUGUGGCUAAUACGGGAUAUUCUGGGUCUGUCGCAUGAUGGGUCUGGGAAAGAUAUUGUUUCGGUGGGGGAUGGGCUCGCGGCCUAUCAGCUUGUUGGUGGGGUGAUGGCCUACCAAGGCGGUGACGGGUAGCCGGCCUGAGAGGGUGGACGGUCACACUGGGACUGAGACACGGCCCAGACUCCUACGGGAGGCAGCAGUGGGGAAUAUUGCACAAUGGGCGCAAGCCUGAUGCAGCGACGCCGCGUGAGGGAUGGAGGCCUUCGGGUUGUGAACCUCUUUCGCCAGUGAAGCAGGCCUGCCUCGUUUGUGGGUGGGUUGACGGUUGCUGGAUAAGAAGCGCCGGCUAACUACGUG
rnacentral:rRNA from 1 species